rnacentral:rRNA from 1 species
UACGGGGGGGGGCAAGCGUUGUUCGGAAUUACUGGGCGUAAAGGGCUCGUAGGCGGCCAACUAAGUCGGAUGUGAAAUCCCCAGGCUUAACCUGGGAACUGCAUCCGAUACUGGAUGGCUUGAAUUCGGGAGAGGGAUGCAGAAUUCCAGGUGUAGCGGUGAAAUGCGUAGAUAUCUGGAGGAACACCGGUGGCGAAGGCGGAUCUCUGGGCCUUACCUGACGCUGAGGCGCGAAAGCUAGGGGAGCAAACAGG